AGGCUAUCUGCCUGACGAGCUGCCCGACUUGGCCGGUGCUAUCGACCCGCCUGCAUGGCUGCUCGCGCCCGACCUCUGCGCGGACAAUGGCAUUUACUUCCGGGGGGAGGCUGGGCGUGCGCUGGAGGAGGUGAGCGAGCGGUCUGUGGUGAGCGUGGAGUUUCUGUGCGACGGGCGGCUGGUGGCGGCGGCGGAUGGUCGGCCGCUGUGCGCGCUCGGCCUCGUGCCAGACACCCUUGAUGUCCUCUACCCACUCGUAGAUGUCUACGGCAAAGUUUGCCAGGUGUCAAUAUUGCUUCACCCAUACGUACUAGGGAGUGGGGCCUCCCUGGACCUGCCGAGUGUAACUGCGACCCGCGAGGACAGCUCGGGCGUGUCGGAACUGCCCGAGGACGACGUGUCGCCGGUGGACCUCGACGUCGGCACCUCUGUCG